CUGCUCUAGCGCGGCCGGGCGCCCGCGGAAGGCAGGAACGCGGGCGCCUGCCGGGCCGCAGGGAGGGGGGCGACGGGGGGCCGGCUUGGGCCUAGCUGCGAGCUCUCGCUCCGAGCUCGGGACCGGGCGCUCCGGGGUGCAAGCGAGCAGCCGGCACAGCUCCCGCACCGGAGGAGGCCCGGGUCUGGGAGGGGAGAGAUUUGGAGACAUCGGUGGUUAAGAGUGCAGAGAAGCAAAACAAUCAUGGGUGCUGCGGACAGAGAAUCCCAGUCUUGGUGAAGGACACCAGGCCUAUUUCCUUGAGUUACCAACCUGGUGUGGCGUGCUGUAUUUUCCAAGAUGGCGAUAAUAAGAUCUUCCAUCCUCCGUGUUCUUCUUGCAACAUCCUAAUCAACCCGUUAGGAGUAGGCUCCAUGCCCAGUGUGGAGCCCAAUGCAGGGCUUGAACUCAUGACCCUGAGAUCAA